rnacentral:tRNA from 1 species
GGGAAAGUGGGAGUAUGUUUAGUUCCAUGUCUACUUUAUCAAAGUAGCCCUUGUGGUUCAGGCACGCUUCC